UACGGAGGGUGCAAGCGUUGUUCGGAAUUAUUGGGCGUAAAGGGCGCGUAGGCGGUAACGUAAGUCAGAUGUGAAAUACUCCGGCUCAACCAGAGAAUUGCAUCUGAAACUGCGUAACUAGAGUACAGAAGAGGGAAACGGAAUUCCCGGUGUAGAGGUGAAAUUCGUAGAUAUCGGGAGGAACACCAGUGGCGAAGGCGGUUUCCUGGUCUGAUACUGACGCUGAGGCGCGAAAGCGUGGGGAGCAAACAGGAUUAGAUACCCUGGUAGUCCACGCUGUAAACGGUGAACACUAGGUGUGGGAGGUGUAAUACCUUCCGUGCCGUAGCUAACGCGUUAAGUGUUCCGCCUGGGAAGUACGGCCGCAAGGUUGAA
rnacentral:rRNA from 1 species